rnacentral:rRNA from 1 species
CCUACGGGUGGCAGCAGUGAGGAAUAUUGGUCAAUGGGCGGGAGCCUGAACCAGCCAAGUCGCGUGAGGGAAGACGGUCCUAUGGAUUGUAAACCUCUUUAGGCGGGGAGCAAUGCCGGGCACGCGUGCCCGGAGGGAGAGUACCCGCAGAAUAAGCAUCGGCUAACUCCGUGCCAGCAGCCGCGGUAAUACGGAGGAUGCGAGCGUUAUCCGGAUUGAUUGGGUUUAAAGGGUGCGUAGGCGGAUUUUUAAGCCAGCGUGAAAAUGUCCGGGAUAAACCCGGGCCGGCCGUUGAAACUGGGGAUCUUGAGUGGGCGAGAGGUAUGCGGAAUGCGUGGUGUAGCGGUGAAAUGCAUAGAUAUCACGCAGAACUCCGAUUGCGAAGGCAGCAUACCGGCGCCCAACUGACGCUGAGGCACGAAAGCGUGGGGAUCGAACAGGAUUAGAUACCCUUGUAGUC